rnacentral:rRNA from 1 species
UGGGGAAUAUUGCACAAUGGGCGGAAGCCUGAUGCAGCAACGCCGCGUGCGGGAUGACGGCCUUCGGGUUGUAAACCGCUUUCGCCUGUGACGAAGCGUGAGUGACGGUAAUGGGUAAAGAAGCACCGGCUAACUACGUGCCAGCAGCCGCGGUGAUACGUAGGGUGCGAGCGUUGUCCGGAUUUAUUGGGCGUAAAGGGCUCGUAGGUGGUUGAUCGCGUCGGAAGUGUAAUCUUGGGGCUUAACCCUGAGCGUGCUUUCGAUACGGGUUGACUUGAGGAAGGUAGGGGAAAAUGGAAUUCCUGGUGGAGCGGUGGAAUGCGCAGAUAUCAGGAGGAACACCAGUGGCGAAGGCGGUUCUCUGGGCCUUUCCUGACGCUGAGGAGCGAAAGCGUGGGGAGCGAACAGGCUUAGAUACCCUGGUAGUCCACGCUGUAAACGGUGGGUACUAGGUGUGGGGUCCAUUCCACGGGUUCCGUGCCGUAGCUAACGCUUUAAGUACCCCGCCUGGGGAGUACGGCCGCAAGGCUAAAACUCAAAUGAAUUGACGG